rnacentral:misc_RNA from 1 species
AAUUUGGUCAAUUCACCCUUAGAGAUGACUUUUGGGCUAAUUGUCCAUUAAAAACUAGAAAAUUAAAAUUAUGAAAGAUAGAUUUAAAUUGAAGAGGUGAGGAAAAGAAAAGGAAAAAGAAAAGAAAGAAAUCAAAAAUUAAAAGCUUUAUGACAUCACCCAUUAUGUAAGCAUGACCUAAUUAAUAUUAUAAUUUUAAAUUA